UUUUUUUUUUGGUUUUUCGAGACAGGGUUUCUCUGUAUAGUCCUAGCUGUCCUGGAACUCACUUUGUAGACCAGGUUGGCCUCGAACCUCGAACUUAGAAAUCCGCCUGCCCCUGCCUCCCAAGUGCUGGGAUUAAAGGCGUGCGCCACCACGCCCGGCUAUGUGUGGCUUUUUUUGGUAUGGUGAUAAUACCAAGCAAGAAAGAAUCAUAGGAAGUCCCAAAGAGACAGGAUCCUUCCUCCAGAAGAUGCCAUCUUUCUCUUUUUACUCUGGGAGCCUCAGGUAUCUGAGCACCCUAUGCCCCACCCCCAUGCUGCUCAUGGCCAGUGGUUUCUCUCACUGGGUUGCAGGGCGGAUGGACGCCGAUGGUCGCUUGCUUCGCUCCCUUCCUCUGGCUAUGGCACCAACACGCCCAGCUCAACUGUUUCAGUGAGUAUGUGGAGGUGGAUGGAUGGGUGGGUAGGGACUCAAGUGACCACACCAGGACCAGAGGUCCCAGCUGUCCUGAGAGGCCGGGUUUCACGGCCCUUCCGAAUGCUCAGUUGUCCAUCCAUUAGAGGUGACAGGUCUUCCGCUGAGGCCCAUCGCUGCCCUCACUGCAUUUCCCUAGGAACCUACUCUCGUUGUCCGUGAUGACUCAGUCUUGGGGACUAAGGCAUGUAUCCAAGUACCAUUAGCUAGCCAGAGCCCGCAUAGCUUCUACCUCGAGCCCAAUCGCUUACCCACUGUACACCUCGGAAAUCUCUGUCCUUCAGUGCCCCUUGCAGGAAAAGCUCUGGUUUUCCAUCCUUUGCCAUGGUGGUUACAAGCUUUGAUCAUGUGACCUGACUGAGGGUAUAAAGGAAGGCUUCCUAGAGGAAGUGGUUGAAGCCAAGAUAAAGGAUCAGUUGGAACUUGGGGGUGAGGUGUUCAGGAGGUCAGCACCAUGGUCAACUCCAAAGGCCUCAGAAAACAGGAGCAGAAGCAAUCUGAAAGUAUCUGUUGUAUGGCAGAAUACCGUGGCAUAGCCUGUAAUGCCCCCUGGAGACUCUAAAAUAGGAACCUUAGGAGUCCAAGACCAGCCUAAGCUACAUGAGACCUUUCCUCCACCCCUUACCACCACUGGUGGGGGAGCAGCGUAAGGAAGGAAGAAG
rnacentral:lncRNA from 1 species